rnacentral:rRNA from 1 species
CCCUUAGAUGUUCUGGGCCGCACGCGCGCUACACUGAUGCAUUCAACAAGCCUAGCCUUGACCGAGAGGUCCGGGUAAUCUUUGAAACUGCAUCGUGAUGGGGCUAGAUUAUUGCAAUUAUUAAUCUUCAACGAGGAAUGCCUAGUAAGCGUGAUUCAUCAAAUCGCGUUGAUUACGUCCCUGCCCUUUGUACACACCGCCCGUCGCUCCUACCGAUUGAAUGUGUUGGUGAGGAGCUCGGAUUGGCAGCAGUUGGUGGUUCGCCACCGGCUAUUGCUGAGAAGUCUUCCAAACCGCCCCAUUUAGAGGAAGGAGAAGUCGUAACA